CAUAGAUCUGGUUGUGACAUCUGUCACCCCAUUGAGCUCCAGGAUUGAUUUGGUAUUCUGUCUGGCUACACAGGUGCCCUCUAUCUCCCCCACCACGUCUUGCUUGUCCUUGCUGAAGCUGGGAUCUUGGUCACAGAGGACUACCUUCCCCAAACAGAGACAGACAAGUCUUUGGUCCAG
rnacentral:snRNA from 1 species